AAAGUCCUGGGGUGUUCGACGCUCCCAUUAUUUUUGAACCUACAUUACUUUAAACGGGAUUCCUAUAUUGCCGGUUUCAAUGUCAGGCCGUCAUUAUGCAGCGGAAGACAGCGCGCCGGUUGCGGUUGCCCACCUGGCUUAGGCUAGGAGUCAGAAGAUGGGAAACGGCACUUUGGGACUUUU
rfam:Blautia sp. An46 An46_contig_8, whole genome shotgun sequence.